GCACCCAUAGCUCAAUUGGAUAGAGCAUCUGACUACGGAUCAGAAGGUUGGGGGUUCGAGUCCCUCUGGGUGCACCA
rnacentral:tRNA from 1 species